AACUCUCGAAGGCGCUGAUGAGCUUCGGCUCGCGUCUUCACCUCCCUGUUGGACUUCGGCCGAGCCUUGUGCUCGGCCUUUUUU
rnacentral:ncRNA from 1 species